rnacentral:misc_RNA from 1 species
UACGGAGGGGGCUAGCGUUGUUCGGAAAUACUGGGCGUAAAGCGCACGUAGGCGGCGUGGCAAGUCAGGGGUGAAAUCCCGGGGCUCAACCCCGGAACUGCCCUUGAAACUGCUUCGCUAGAAUUCUGGAGAGGCGAGUGGAAUUCCGAGUGUAGAGGUGAAAUUCGUAGAUAUUCGGAAGAACACCAGUGGCGAAGGCGACUCGCUGGACAGAUAUUGACGCUGAGGUGCGAAAGCGUGGGGAGCAAACAGG